GCUCAUUUGGCUGCACAUGUACUAAAAUUGGAAUACAGAGAAAAUUAUUAUGGUGCCCGCACAAGGAUGACAUGCAAAAUUUGUGAAGCAUUCUGUACUUUA